rnacentral:rRNA from 1 species
CCUACGGGGGGCAGCAGUGAGGAAUAUUGGUCAAUGGGCUUACGCCUGAACCAGCCAAGUCGCGUGAGGGAAGACUGCCCUAUGGGUUGUAAACCUCUUUUGUCAGGGAGCAACGCCGGCUACGUGUAGCCGGACUGAGAGUACCUGAAGAAAAAGCAUCGGCUAACCCCGUGCCAGCAGCCGCGGUAAUACGGAGGAUGCGAGCGUUAUCCGGAUUUAUUGGGUUUAAAGGGUGCGUAGGCGGAAUGCCAAGUCAGCGGUAAAAUCGCGGGGCUCAACCCCGCUCCGCCGUUGAAACUGGCGGUCUUGAGUGGGCGAGAAGUAUGCGGAAUGCGUGGUGUAGCGGCGAAAUGCAUAGAUAUCACGCAGAACUCCGAUUGCGAAGGCAGCAUACCGGCGCCAAACUGACGCUGAAGCACGAAAGCGUGGGUAUCGAACAGGAUUAGAUACCCCAGUAGUC